ACAAGUGAGGAAGGAAGACAGCAUCGAAGAACAUCGGCAGUUGAUCAACGUUGACGUACACAGGCUCCUGCAAGCUUCAUUG
rnacentral:ribozyme from 1 species